CUGAGGCAACAAAAACCGCGCCAUUUUCCCUCCUUCAGUCACAACAGGACGGGCUCGCGACGCGCAACGGUCAAGAAAAAUAACAGUCGGACUCAGAUAACGCGACUUUUAUGUUUGGAGACGGUCGGCAGACCAUCUUCCACAUCCCUCUCGCGCGGCGCCACAGAAACUACAGCAACCGGACCACAUUUUUUGGGCUUUGAUGUCAUUUGAACUACGAUCCUGGUGAGUCUAUCUGAAAAGAAGAGUCUGACGAUGUUUUUAAGACACAAGCCAUUGUUCAAGAGCGCUUCUUUCAAAUGGAGAUUCCACAUGAUAAUUUAGAAGAUCGAUCAAUGCUGAAUCCUCUAUAAAUUUUCCACGGAUCUUUG